GCAGGUGUGUUGGAAUUGGCAGACAAGUACGAUUGAGGGUCGUAUGAGCGUUCGCUCGUGUGGGUUCGAGUCCCAUCACCUGCA
rfam:Enterococcus thailandicus strain F0711D 46 Ent-16_S35_L001_001_1, whole genome shotgun sequence.